rfam:Rhodobacter aestuarii strain DSM 19945 genome assembly, contig: Ga0111637_104
GGGCGGUUAGCUCAGCGGUAGAGCACUACGUUGACAUCGUAGGGGUCACUGGUUCGAUCCCAGUACCGCCCA